AGUUUUAUUCUUGCUUAAAAGUUUAUUUUUUGGAUAUUUUACAUGUAAAUUUUUGUGAGUAAUUGUUGAUUCUCAAUGAUUUGUUAUUUAUUCGCAGUAUUUGAUAUUAAUAAUCAAAGUGAUUUGGAAUUAGUAAUUUAAAGUGUGAUUGGUUAAAGUCGUGCCAGCUACCGCGGUUAUACGUAAGAUAGGAAUGAAUUUUAUUAGUUGGGAAUUAGUUUAUUGAUUAUUAAGAUGUUUAGAAAUUUAGUGGGUAGAAUUUGUUAAAUUUGUUUACAUUUUAUAUUUAAGGGAUGAAGUUUUGAAAAUUGAAUUUUAAACUAGGAUUAGAUACCCUAUUAUUUUAAUUGUUAAAUUUAAGACUUGAGUAGUAUUAGUUAAGUGCUUGAAACUCAAAGAAUUUGGCGGUGUUUUAGUCUUUUCAGAGGAAUCUGUUCUUUAAUUGAUAUUACACAUUAUAUUCAACUUAAUUUUGUAAAAUCAGCUUGUAUACCGCCGUUAUAAGAUUAUCUUUUUAGAGAUAAAAUUUUCUUAAGAUUUUAAGAUAGUAUUUCAGGUCAAGGUGCAGUUAAUAAUUAAGGGUGAAAUGGAUUACAAUAAAGUUAUUUAAAUGGAGUUUCUAUUGAAAAAUGGGAAUGAAGGUGGAUUUGAAUGUAAUUUUGUUAUAUUAUGGUGAAAUGAUUUAAGCUCUAGAACAUGUACACAUCGCCCGUCACUCUCAUUAUUAAGGUGAGAUAAGUCGUAACAUAGUAGUUGUACUGGAAAGUGUAGCUAGGAAGU
rnacentral:ncRNA from 1 species